CUCGUCCGAUACGCGAGUCGCCGCGCCAAAUGCGCGACCUGCACGACGCCGACGAUCUCUGCCUCACGUCGCGCACAAUGCGACGAUACAAUCCGGCGUGUUCGGCCGCACGGAUCCCGCCGCGUAAAGUCGCGCGUUCGAUCGCUGGCGUUCGCACCGCUACGUCGCCGACGGAAUUACGUGCGUGUCGCGUCGCUGCAUACGUAAUCGAGCGUUGCGUCGUUUCGCGUCAUCCCCUUGUCCCUAAUGCAUAUUCGCUCCAUCAUCCGUUUCUGUGAUUUUCAUUGCGCGCCUGACAAACAUCCUUUCCCGCCACUGUGAAAGAACACCUUUGCCAAGGUGUUUAACACGGCAAUCUGACUAGAUACAGAUGUGAAAAUUGCUUCGUAAUAAUCCAACAAACAAUCGAUCGAUUUGAAUUUGGCUGAAUUUUUGUAGAAAAAUUAUAUCAGCAAAUUUCCUUUUUUUCUGUGGAGAAAUAGGGAAGCGGAAUAGAAAUAUACGUCAAAUGUGUGAGGACGAUUCCUUGCAUCUUUUUCUUCUUCAUGUAAAAUUAUAAUUUCUUUAUUGUGAUGUAAUUCCGAAUUCCGAUAUUUCCUAUUGGAAUUUUGAUUUUUUUAAACAGUUUGCAAAUAAAAAAUAUUGUGUUUAAUGU